rnacentral:rRNA from 1 species
UAUAAGGGCGUAUGGAGGAUGCCUAGACACUAGAAGGCGAUGAAGGUCGUGGCGUGACUGCGAUAAACUUCGGGGAGCCGUCGAGCGGGCUUUGAUCCGGAGGUAACCGAAUGGGGCAACCCAAUAUGACAAACUCAUAUUAUCUCGCGUAAGCGAGAUGCGUACCUGGGGAAGUGAAACAUCUCAGUACCCAGAGGAAAAGAGAACGAAGUUAUCCCCUUAGUAGCGGCGAGCGAAAAGGGAACAGCCUAAACCGAUUUCAUAAUUUAUUAUGUCGUCGGGGUAAUAGGGAUAGUACAACUAAAAAUUUGAAUUUCGGUCUUCUUGAUCGAGAUUCAAGUUUUUAAAAGAAGUUACAAAUUCGUGCGUUAGCAGAAUGGCCCUGGAAUGGCCAACCAAAGAAGGUGACAGUCCUGUAAGCGAAAACAAACGAACUUCUGUAUUAUUUCCUGAGUAGCCCGGGAUAAGGAUGUCCUGGGUGAAUUUGUCCAUACUACUGGAUAAGGCUAAAUACUUCUAGUGAUCGAUAGUGAACCAGUACCGUGAGGGAAAGGUGAAAAGCACCCCGAUGAGGGGAGUGAAAUAGCAACUGAAACCAUAUGCCUACAAAGAGCAGGAGCCGUACUUUGCACAGAGAUCCUAAGUCCUAAACGAAUUGGAAAAUUGUUUAGAGUUUGGAAAUUAGAAUUUAGAGUUUCCGUGCAGGGUGCGGUGACUGUGUGCCUAUUGAAGAAUGACCCAACGAGUUUAUUUAAAUUACACUCUAAGUCCUUAUGGGACGAAGGGGAAGGGAAACCGAGUGUUAAUAGCGCGUCAUCCAACUUAAAUUUUUGGACUACGUAAGUUCAAAAAUUUAAGUUGGAUAUGUAGUUUGAGUAAGACCCGAAGCCAGGCGAGCUAACCAUGACCAGGAUGAAGGUUACCGAAAGGUAACUGGAGGUCCGAACCAGUUGGUAGCGCAAUACCAUUGGAUGAGUUGUGGUUCGUAGUGAAAAGCUUAUCGAGCUUGGUAAUAGCUGGUUCUCUCCGAAAUGCCUUUAGGGGCAGCGUUGCACAGUAGCAGAGGGGGUAGAGCACUGAAUGGUAAUCCGUGCCCUUUUGGGUAGGACUACCAAACAAACUCCGAAUACCUUUGUGGAAUGUGCGGCAGUGAGUAAGCGGGGGCAAAGCUUCGUUUACGCAAGGGAAACAGCCCAGAUCACCGCUUAAGGUCCCAAAAUUUAGACUAAGUGAAAAGGAAGUGUUUUGCCUUAGACAGGUAGGAGGUUGGCUUAGAAGCAGCCAUCCUUUAAAGAGUGCGUAAUAGCUCACUAUUCGAUCUCAUCGCAAGAUGAGGAGGCAAAGUGCGCCGAAAAUUUAUAGGGGCUAAGUCUAAUACCGAAAGCGUGGGUUCGGUGAUUUCAUAAAGGAAAGUUGUGGACAGAGAUAGUUCAAGGGAAGAACAUCUGGCCUCAUAAGCCAGAGAUACGUGGCUCAACUCCACGGCUCUGUCCCAUAAGUCGGGCGGGAACGACAAUCAAUUUCAUACAGAACCUGUCUGCCAGACACAGCGGGUUCCACGAUUGUUGUUUUCGUCCGACAACCUUUCAUCUCGUUCUUCGAGAUGUCCUUUAUGAAACCACCGAGCGGUAGGAGAGCAUUCUGAUCUGCUGUGAAGGUUCGCUGUGAAGCGGGCUGGAGCGGUCAGAAGGGAAAAUGUUGGGAUGAGUAACCGCAAGACCGGUUAAAGUCCGGUCCGUCGUAAGCCUAAGGUUUCCUCCGCGAUGGCAAUCAUCGGAGGGUUAGGCGUCCCUAAGGAUAACCGUGCUUUCGAGCGCGGGAUGCCGAUGGUGAGCCGGUUAAUAUUCCGGCCCCACUUAUGUAUAUCUGAUUGAGAUGACGGGCAACACAAGAUCAAGCACAUUAUUGGAUUUGAUGUUUUCCACCCAUAGACUUUCUACCAGGAAAAUCCGGUAGAGGCCGCAAGGCAAUGUCGAGGGUAGAAGAAAUCGUCGCAAGACGAGAUUUGAUCGAAGAGGGCUCCAAGAAAAGUCUCUAAUGUUAGUACAUGAGUGCACGUACCUAAAACCGAAACAGGUGGGCUGGUGUAAGUGCACCAAGACGAACGGGUGAUUAUUGGUUAAGGAACUCGGCAAAAAAGCGGCCGUAAGUUCGCGAUAAGGCCUGCCGCCGCAAGGCGGCCACAGCUAAAGAACCCCUGGCGACUGUUUAUCAAAAACACAACUCCGUGCUAAGCCGAAAGGCGCUGUAUACGGGGUGACGCUUGUCCGGUGCCGGAACGUUAACGGUGGAGGUGGUAUGUCGCAAGAUGUACUGCUGACGCCCGAAGCGCCGGUGAACGACG